rnacentral:lncRNA from 13 species
CAUUCCUCCCACAUGCAACAUACCCUCUCCCUUAUCAAGACAUCACAAAGGUUCAACUAUUACAGCAUCAGGCUCCGGCUGGACAUUCCAGAUCUCAUUAUCUCAGUCAGCUCCAGGUGUAAAUGAAUCUGCUCAAGUUUCUGAUGACCUCAGGACUAAAGAGACCAAGUUGCAGGAAGAUGUCAGCUGGGCCUGCAAACAUCUGAUGACUUGACCAGCCUGGAUGUCCAAGAUGGCUCACAUGCAUGGUUUAGAGCUGAUGCUGCUGUUGGCUGUGAGCUCAGCUGGGCUGUCUUCAGUGUCUACAUGUGGGCUUUCCAGCACAGCGCUCUCAGGACACUUGGCCUUCUUCCAUGCUGCUGGUCUACCCUGGAGCUAAUAUCCCAAAAGAACCAGGCAGGUUGUGUGAAGAUACAGAGAGAAGGUAGCCAUCUGCAAGCUAUAGAGAGAGGCUGCAAGAGUGGUCGAUCCUGUUGAUGCCUUGAUGUUGGACUUCCAGCUUCCUCAACUGUGCUCACACAAGUUUCUGCUGUUGAAGUCACUCAGGCUGCAAUACUUUGUUAUGGCAGCCCUAGAAAACUAGUACAAAGUCUUUCAAGCUGAUUAUGGUAUCCUUUUUUGCAUGCCCUGAUCAUUUCUUGAGCAUUUCUUUACUUCCUAGCACAAUAGGACAUUCUGUGUCAUGUAGUACUUUUUCUGCCUGUGGUAGACAGCACAUGGCCUCCUAAGGAGGUCCACAGGAAUCCUCUACACCUAUGAAUAAG